AAAGAGAAGCUGUCCACAGUGUGUUUGAUAAGCUGACAUGGCACAGGACUUCUUUUCCCUGUUGUAUCAGUAUAUCAAACUCAUAUCUGGACAUC
rnacentral:pre_miRNA from 1 species